rnacentral:lncRNA from 1 species
UUUCCGGUGCCUCAUUAGCAUAACCCCGCCCCCCGCGAUCACGUGCCCCUCGGCCCGCGCUCCGCCCUCCUCAUUUGCAUCCCGUCUGCCGAGCCCCCUCCCCGUCACGUGACGCAUCGCCCCUCUCCGCGCGCCCCCGCUCGCCAUUGGCUCCGCCCCGCGUCACGUGGCUCCGCGCUUCCGCUUCCGGCUGCGGCUGAGCCACGAGCGGGAGGGAGAUGGGGCUGCAGGUACGGGGAGGGUUGGGGGAAAAUGUGGGGUGUUGGGUGGGGAAUGGGGGAAAAUGGGGGGAUUUGGGGAGGGGGAAAUGGGGAAAAAUGGGGGGAAUUGAGGGGGGGAUUUUGGGGCAAAACGAUGCAAAUUUGGGGGGAAUUUUGGGGGAAAUUCUGGGGAUUUUGGGGCUUGGUUGGCGGCGGCUUUGGGGUUUUAUUUUGGGGUCAAUUUGAAGGAUUUUGAGGCUUCGUUUUGGGGGAAAUUGGAGGGUUUUUGGGCAAAUUUUGAAGAUUUGGGGUUCUGGUUUUGGUGGUUUUUGGGGUUUCAUUUUGGGGCAAAUUUUGAGGAUUUUGGGUUUCGUUUCUGGUGGUUUUUAGGUUUCAUUUUGGGGCAAAUUUGGAGGUUUUUGGGGUUUCAUUUUGGGGUAAACUUCUCCGAUUUGGGGGUUUCCUUUUGGGUGAAAUUUUGAGGAUUUUGGGGUUUCAUUUUGGGGCAAAUUUUAAGGAUUUUGGGUUUUAUUUCUGGUGGUUUUUAUGUUUCAAUUUGGGGCAAAUUUGGAGGUUUUUGGGGUUUCAUUUCUGGAGGUUUUUGGGUUCUGUUUUGGGGCAAAUUUUAAGGAUUUUGGGUUUUAUUUCUGGUGGUUUUUAGGCUUCAAUUUGGGGCAAAUUUGGAGGUUUUUGGGGUUUCAUUUCUGGAGGUUUUUGGGUUUCCUUUUGGGUGAAAUUUCAAGGAUUCGGGGGCUUCAUUUUGGGGCAAAUUUUGAGGAUUUUGGGGUUGGUUUUGGGGCAAAUUUCGAGGAUUUUGGGGUUUCAUUUGUGGUGGUUUUUGCCCCCUCCCC